CGAGCGCGCAUGACCGGAAGUGGCGCUUCAGCGUGAUCAGAUUAACUAUAAACGGUUCCUUCAGCAUUUCGCUGUUAUAUUGUGUUUAGUUCAUUAAUCGGUCACAUCAGCACAGCCAGUCGCUCAUUACAGGUGUCAGGAUGUUGUGUGAGCUGCUGCUGUCCUCGCUCUGGUUCCUGUUCCUCAUCUUCUGGCUGGAGAGCAUCAGUGUUUGGCUCUUUCUGUGUCUGUACUAUCAGGACGGGGUUUUCUAUCACUGGGCUUCAGGUGAGCUUGCAGAUGAUCCGGAUCAGUUCCUCUAUGUGUUAAGCAGAAUCGAUCUGUCUGCGCACAUGCAGACAUGAGGAAGUGAUGUCAUCACGCCAGGGUCAGAGGUCAGCGGGUCCUCGUGACCUCCAGAGACUGUGAUGGACGGUUUCUGCAGACAGAUAGAGCGGCGAGAUUCAGCGCACAAGCAGCAGGAACACAUGAAACCUCUUUAAAGCUGUUACCUGUGUGAACACUGACGGAGUUUAACCAGUUCAUGUUUUUAACUAGCUGGAAUUUCAUUUGAGAAAAUAUUAACAGCUCCAGAUUAACUUUUAUCGAAUUAUUGCGUUCUAUUUUUAUACCAAUUUCUCUUCUUUUUUUUACCAAAUAAUAAAAAUAAA